AGGUCAGACGUUUAUUAGACUGUUUUUAACGUCUUCAUACUUAAUCCACGGAUUGGUAUUGUUUGAUAGUUUAGUCCGGUAGAACGUAAUUUAUUGAUAGUGGGUAUUGGCUUUGUACAAUCCUUUAGUAGAAGGAACUGUUUUCGCGGUGCUCUGUGCUAUUGUUUUUGUUCUACUUGGUUUUGUGCCUUAAACAUACAUUUUAACAUGAGCCAAUGCCAACUGAUUUUUAUAGUUUGUUCUUAUGUUGUGCUGUUACACCACUGUCUCAUCUUAGGAGAGGAUAGAGCGCUAGCAGACAUGUUUCGUCCCGUCAAAAUAUGUAUAUGCCUGUCCCAAGUCGAGAACCGGUAGUUCAGUGGUUUUCGUAGUUUUAUGUCAUUCAUUUGUGUUUUUCAUAAAUUGUUUAGUUAUAAAUCAGGCCGUGAGUUUUUAUUGUUUAAAUUGUGUAAUACAUUUCAUUGCGAUGCCUGUUAUAGACGACUAUAAGAUAUUGGGUUUCCUAAAAGUUGACGACAAUACGGCUUCCUAUAAUUGCUUACAUUUACUU
rnacentral:lncRNA from 1 species